rnacentral:tRNA from 1 species
CACUAAGAAGCUAAAUUGGGUCUAGCAUUAGCCUUUUAAGCUAAAAACUGGUGAUUCCCUACCACCCUUAGUGA